rnacentral:misc_RNA from 1 species
CGCUGAUGUGCUUUUAUCUGCAGAAGGUUGUGAGAUCGGAGCUUGGAAGACUAGAACCACUGUUGAACCCAUAUUGAAAGCUGCUAGCUCAUCUCCUUUCUUCAGCAAAACACCAGUGCCUCUAGGUUCGUAUACCUGUUCUUCAGGAGGUUCUGGAUGUAGCAGCUUCUUCCAUGGUCUAUUUGUUCGCAGGGUUGGUUCAAUGAAAAGCUCAAUGGAACCAAUAUUCGUUGCACCUACGGCUGCCAUUGCCAUAAAACCUUCUUGCCAUUUACCUUCAAGCACAACCCUUUCAUUCUCCACAUAUAAAUUUCUUAUUGUCCUCGUAGCUCGUUCAUUCAUGGGAAAGAGACGACCAGAGAAAUGUCGACGGCCAAGAACAUUCCAAUCAGCUGGUGAGUGUAUGCGAUGAUAAUCUCCAGGACUCAAGUAAAUCACACAGUAAAAGAGACCUUUCAUUGGGCGUGCUGGUGCAGGAUCUCGAACUUUAGGAGAAGCCAAUGAAACUCUCCACCAGGACUUCUGAUUCGUAUCAUCCAUA